rnacentral:rRNA from 1 species
UACGGGGGGGGGCAAGCGUUGUUCGGAAUUACUGGGCGUAAAGGGCGCGUAGGCGGCUCGCUAAGUUGGAUGUGAAAACUCUGGGCUUAACCCCAGAGCCUGCAUCCAAAAACUGGCAAGCUUGAGUACUGGAGGGGAAAGCGGAAUUCCUGGUGUAGCGGUGAAAUGCGUAGAUAUCAGGAGGAACACCUAUUGCGAAGGCAGCUCGCUGGGACGUCACUGACGCUGAGACGCGAAAAGCGUGGGGGAGCAAACAGG